CUCUUUAUUUGGCAACCAGCUUGAAAUGAUCUAGUUUUCAGUGUAUAGCAUUACCUUUCUUAAAAUCACAUAGUCCUUCUGAUAAACAUUUAUCUUUUUUUUUUUUUUUUAACAUAUUGCCGUUUACAAAUUUAGCUUAUCUGUUUGACAAAAUUAUUUUGACAAUGGAUUUUGUAUGUUAUAUAAAAAUCUACACAUUAUACAUUCAUUAUUGGAAGAAGAAAAAGCUUAUUUUCUGAAACAAUAUUAAGCCAGCACAGUACAUAAACUGUCAACAUAUCCAAUCCAGUUAAGAAGAUAACAAAAUAAGGUUGAAUACUUCAAUAUUACAGUCAAAUACUGAGAGAAAAGUCCAAUGGUGUGCAAGGAGGAGGGUGUUUUUACACCAGAGGUUUUUCAGGAUUACGAUGAUACUGUCACAGUCUCAGAGGAGAUAAAGAGAGAGUUGGGAAUCAUAUUCAGUGAGGAUUGGUGUGGGGUUUUACAAAACAAACUGACUAGUGGCUAAAACAACAACAAAACACAUUUGGAUAUCAGUCUUUCAUGCAGUCUUAAAGCAUACGAUUCUAACACUAGUCCUCUUUCCUGAUUUUCUUUUCCUCACAUCUGUGUGAAACACACCACGGUCCUGAUCUCUCUUUAGUCGUAUGCCAUUCUUAGUCAUUUGUCUCUACAGAUUCAAGUUUAUAGCUACAUGUCCACUAUUCACAACAUUCUCUCUUUCAUUUUCAGUGCUGAAGGACUACAGCACUGUGGGAUGGAGUGCUGUCCCUGCCCUGAUCCAACUCAAAAACAUACUGUGCUGUGAAAAAGUAUUUGCCCCAUCCUGAGUUCUUCUGUUUUUGUGUACAUCUCAUACUAAAUUGUUUCAGAAAUUAAAACAAAAUCUAAGAUAAAACAAAGGCAGCCUGAGUAAACAUAAAAUACAGUGCUUAAAUAAAAAUGUUAUUUAUUUUAGCAAAAAAAAGUUAUCCAAUACCAACUGGGCCUGUGUGAAAAUGUAUUUGCCCCAUAGUUACUAAUUCCCAAAUCUAUGAAACCUCAUUCGUAAUGGGGUUCAGCUGGACUAGACGCAACCAGCAAGCCUGAUUACUGCAAACCCUGUUCAAUCAAAUCAACACUUAAAUAGAACUUUUUCAACAGCCGACCUUCCAAAAUUCCUCCAUGAGCACAGCAACUACUGACGCAAGUCACAAAAGAGCCAAGGACAACCUCAAAUGACUUACAGGUGUCUGUUGCAUCAAUAAGGGUCAGUGACUACGUUUACAUGGACAGCAGUAAUCUAAUUAUUGACCUUAUUCUGAAUAAAACAAUAUUGCAAUUAAGGUGUUUACAUGAGUCGCUUUUAGAAUACUCCUUUCAUGUUCCCAUUUUGCACGUUACAGAACAUAGAUCGAUUAACGGCAUACGUCAUUGUCACAGCACCACUCCAUCCGACGUUCCCUCCUGAAUUUCACGUAACAACUUACAGUUCGUCUUCGUUAUCAUACUGUAUACAGUUUUGGGUGUUUUUAUUUUUACAAACGCUUCAAGUGCAGUUAAUUAUUUGUCAUGCUAUAUGUGCAAAGUGACGACUGCUUGAAACCGUGGGCUGCGUCCGAAAUCACGUAAUUACCUACUGUAUAGUACCUGAGAUACAUGUAUUUAGCCUACUAUAUAGUAGGUAAUUACACGGUUUCGGACGCAGCCGUGCUCUCGUUUGCCAUCAAACGGUUAAGCACUGCCGUGUGUGAUCGUGUCCUGUCGCAAAAUGCGGUGAAAUCUCACACGACGUUAAUAGUGUGAUUAAGGUGUUUACAUGUUUGUAAUACACGUCGAUAAUGCAAAUAAAACAGGAAUACUCCAUGUCUUAAUUCGAUUCUUGUUUACUUCGUUUAUGACAUUAGUCGGAUUAAGACAAUCAGUACGUUUACAUGGACGACAAUGAUCCGAUAUUAACCCCAUUAAGACAAUACUCUGAUUAAGACACUACCAUGUAAACAGUGAUUAUUGAUUACCUUAAUCUGGCUAAAGUCAUACUCAAAGUAAAUGCAAAUCGAAUUAAG
ensembl:lncRNA